AACGAACGCUGGCGGCAUGCCUAACACAUGCAAGUCGAACGAGACCUUCGGGUCUAGUGGCGCACGGGUGCGUAACGCGGGGAAACCUGCCCUUAGGUUGGGAAUAACUCCCCGAAAGGGGUGCUAAUACCGGAUAAUUUCUUCGGACCAAAGAUUUAUCGCCUUUGGAUGGGCCCGCGUUGGAUUAGCUAGUUGGUAGGGUAAAAGCCUACCAAGGCGACGAUCCAUAGCUGGUCUGAGAGGAUGAUCAGCCACACUGGGACUGAGACACGGCCCAGACUCCUACGGGAGGCAGCAGUGGGGAAUAUUGGACAAUGGGCGAAAGCCUGAUCCAGCAAUGCCGCGUGAGUGAUGAAGGCCUUAGGGUUGUAAAGCUCUUUUACCCGGGAUGAUAAUGACAGUACCGGGAGAAUAAGCUCCGGCUAACUCCGUG
rnacentral:rRNA from 1 species